CCAAUUUCCUCGCCCGUAGAAUUAUUUUUUUUUCUUCGUCUCCUUCGCGAUCAUUGGCUGCAACGCGAUAGCGCGCAUUCCCCACGAGAUCGGCAAAGAAGGGAGAACUUACGGUGGUGAUAAUUUGUGGUGCAUUUUCUCUGCCUCGUUAAAGAAGUUGUUCAAAAUGAUACUGAGACACGUAAUAGAGACACAUUCUGUGUAACCCCCUCUCCAUUUGAUAAAUAGUGGAAAUUAAUUUUACACGCCGAUCGCGUAUUUUGCCGCCAAUAAAUUCGCCGGUGGAAAAAAAAAACAUUUGAACAAAGAGGCAAAUAAAUUUAAAAAAUCAUAAAAUAUGAUUUAUUUAUAUUUUAUGUUUGUAUUUUUCCAUUAUAAAAUUAUUAUUAAAGAGAUGGGACAACACAAAUUAUUUAUUAAAUUUAGAAAAAAAUCGAGAUAUUUAAUAAAUAAGUUAUAUUAAAUAAUAUUAUUUACUUAACUUAUUACUGAAAAAAAAAAACAGUUGGUAAUUAAAUUUAAUUACUCGAAAUAGUUAACACGAGAAUUUUAUGCUUUGUACUUGGGCAAUUUUUUGCCCCUUGAGCAUCAGCAACACAAGUAAAACAAACAGUUUUGCAAAUACACUAAACUGAAAAUGUAAUAAGGUGAAUUCGCCGAGUAGUCUGCAACCCGCACAACUUAACCCGAUGCGAUCUAUGUUAGUUAUGGAUAAUAAAAUCAAUAUGAUUAGUCCGAUUAGUCUGAACUUCGUUGGCAUUUAGACAAUUCGCCCUAAAAAUAUUUUUAAAAUAUUAAUUCAUAAAUUAAUUGCAUUUCUAAAUACAAUAAAAUCUUCUUUAGGUUUAGGUUUUUGAUUAAUUUUCAAGAAUAUCUUAAAUAGCAGCACCUGCACCUAAUAAGUGCUGAUAUAAUGCUGAUUUAGACUGAAAAUACACUGCUUCAAUUAAUAAAAAAAGUAAUUUAAGUACAGAAUAUUUGUAAAUAAUGUAGUAGUGGUAAUGUAUGAAAUGUGCUUUUCUAUAGACAUUGUAGCAAAUUAAGCAAAUCAUUGCACUAUCUGAUGAUCAUAAGUUUUAGUACAAUAUACGAGGCAAUUCAAUAAAAUGUGCAAUAGCACUUCACAUUCACAUUUUGUGGUGUUUCUAACAGACAUUACGAAGGAGGAAGGACAUGAAUUUGAGUUUUCUGCUCAAUUCCAUUGAAUCAAUUGAAACAGAUUCCUCCGCUUCUCUCAUUGAUUUGCCCACUCUUUGUGGUUUAUUGGACUAUUUUCUAUCAUGUUCAAUACACAUUGUCCAUUCUUGGUCCCCACAUAGCCAUUAAGACAGGCGACAUAUAGAGAGACAAACCCUCAACUGAAAAAAAAAACCUUUUACCAUGGGGAACAUUGACAGAGACUUUUGUGUGUUUUGCAAAAUUUAUUAACUCCCUCAUGAAUGAAUUCAGAAAAAGACACCAAUGCGAGAAACAUUGAGAUUUCAAUUGCUUUCCGUUCUUCUUUCUGUCGCCACCAAAUUGGCAAUGCCAUGUAAUUUGUUUGUUAUCAUUAAAUGUUCCAGCCCAAAAACACUUGUAUGUAAAAGGGAGAAAUAAAUUAUUAUUAUUAUUAAAUGUUCCAGUGAGAUGGACUUUGGUGUGUUUUUUUAUUGCAAUUUAGCAAUAAAAGGUUUGAUGCUCUUACGGGGCUAUCACACUUAAGCUCCAAGUGCUUGAGCAUCAUAACCUCUAUAUAAUGCCUGCUCCACCGCACUGAUUGUGUAAAGGUCAACAAUUCCUAAGAGGCAAUCAUCGCAUCGGCAGACAUCUUCUCCUAAUGCCAUGGAACCCAGUGAACCAAUGCUGCUCGUGGAGUCCAGAGAGUCUGUUCGGAAGAGGCGACUUCCGCCUGGACCGGCGCCACCCUGCUGUGCCGCCAUCUCUAUUUUCUUUGCCAGAAGCGUUUCCAUCAGUGUUGGAUAGAGUGCCAUUUCACACGUAAAGUCACCUUUGACCGCACAGCUCUUACCUCUAUGAUCUUCGAUGGCACUCGCGGUGCGGCGUCUCUUUGGGCACGCAAAGCCAGAAAGCACUUUUCAAUUCUGCACUUAUGUAUGUACUACACUCUUCAGCUACCUCGACCAAUGUACUAUGCUUUUAAAUCACGUGAAAUAAAUUACCAUGAGAGAAAAAUUAA